CCCCCACCACACUCACCCCUCUCUCCCUGGCCUGUCUGGUACAGGUACCCCCCACCACACUCACCCCUCUCUCCCUGGCCUGUCUGGUACAGGUACCCCCACCACACUCACCCCUCUCUCCCUGGCCUGUCUGGUACAGGUACCCCCACCACACUCACCCCUCUCUCCCUGGCCUGUCUGGUACAGGUACCUCCACCACACUCACCCCUCUCUCCCUGGUCUGUCUCCCCCUGUCUGGUACAGGUACCUCCACCACACUCCCCCUCUCUCCCUGGCCUGUCUCCCCUUGUCUGGUACAGGUACCCCCACCACACUCAUCCCUCUCUCUCUGGCCUGUCUGGUACAG
ensembl:lncRNA